UACGAGGGGGGCGAGCGUUGUUCGGAAUCACUGGGCGUAAAGCGUGCGUAGGCGGUUAUGAAAGUUAGAAGUGAAAGCCCCGGGCUCAACCCAGGAAUUGCUUUUAAUACUACAUGACUCGAAUUCGGGAGAGGAUAGCGGAAUUGUCAGUGUAGCAGUGAAAUGCGUAGAUAUUGACAGGAACACCGGUGGCGUAAGCGGCUAUCUGGACCGACAUUGACGCUGAGGCACGAAAGCGUGGGGAUCAAACAGG
rnacentral:rRNA from 1 species